UACGUAGGGUGCAAGCGUUGUCCGGAAUUAUUGGGCGUAAAGAGCUCGCAGGCGGUUUGUCGCGUCUGCUGUGAAAACGCGAGGAGCAACCUCGCGCCUGCAGUGGGUACGGGCAAACUAGAGUGCGGUAGGGGAGAUUGGAAUUCCUGGUGUAGCGGUGGAAUGCGCAGAUAUCAGGAGGAACACCGAUGGCCAAGGCAGAUCUCUGGGCCGUAACUGACGCUGAGGAGCGAAAGCAUGGGGAGCGAACAGG
rnacentral:misc_RNA from 1 species